UCGGGAAACUUCCACAAUGGGCGAAAGCCUGAUGGAGCGACGUCGCGUGAUGGACGAAGUGCUUCGGCACGUAAACAUCUUUUAUGUGGGAUGAAAUUAUUGACAGUACCACAUGAAUAAGGGGCUCCUAACUCUGUGCCAGCAGGAGCGGUAAUACAGAGGCCCCAAGCGUUAUCCGGAAUCACUGGGCGUAAAGGGUGUCGAGGCGGUUGUAUUAGUCGUUCGUAAAAUCUACGAGCUUAACUUGUAGGCGGCGAACGAAACGGUACGACUUGAGGUUUGGAGAGGUGCGUGGAACUCACGGUGUAGGGGUGAAAUCCGUUGAUAUCGUGGGGAACACCAAAGGCGAAGGCAGCGCACUGGCCAAAAUCUGACGCUCACACACGAAAGCUAGGGUAGCGAAGAGGAUUAGAUACCCUUGUAGUCCCUGAGCGGGCUGGCAAGGCG
rnacentral:rRNA from 1 species